CGCCAGACUCCUACGGGAGGCAGCAGUGGGGAAUAUUGCACAAUGGGGGGAACCCUGAUGCAGCGACGCCGCGUGGGCGAGGAAGUAUUUCGGUAUGUAAAGCCCUAUCGGCAGGGAAGAAGAAAUGACGGUACCUGAAUAAGAAGCACCGGCUAAAUACGUGCCAGCAGCCGCGGUAAUACGUAUGGUGCAAGCGUUAUCCGGAUUUACUGGGUGUAAAGGGCGUGUAGGCGGGACUGCAAGUCAGAUGUGAAAACCAUGGGCUCAACCUGUGGCCUGCAUUUGAAACUGUAGUUCUUGAGUACUGGAGAGGCAGACGGAAUUCCUAGUGUAGCGGUGAAAUGCGUAGAUAUUAGGAGGAACACCAGUGGCGAAGGCGUCUUACUGGACCGAAACUGACGUUGAGGCUCGAAAGCGUGGGAAGCAAACAGGAUUAGAUACCCGAGUA
rnacentral:rRNA from 1 species